AGGGCACCACCAGGAGUGGAGCCUGCGGCUUAAUUUGACUCAACACGGGAAAACUCACCCGGCCCGGACACUGGAAGGAUUGACAGAUUGAGAGCUCUUUCUUGAUUCAGUGGGUGGUGGUGCAUGGCCGUUCUUAGUUGGUGGAGUGAUUUGUCUGGUUAAUUCCGAUAACGAACGAGACUCUAGCCUAUUAAAUAGAUCGUUGGCUUACAAACGCCGGCGAGACUUCUUAGAGGGACAGGCGGCGGUUCAGCCGCACGAAACAGAGCAAUAACAGGUCUGUGAUGCCCUUAGAUGUCCGGGGCCGCACGCGCGCUACACUGAAGUGAUCAGCGUGCAUUUUGAAACCUACUCUGUCAAGAGUGGGGAACCCAAUGAACCUUCUUCGUGAUUGGGAUAGGGGAUUGUAAUUAUUCCCCUUGAACGAGGAAUUCCCAGUAAGCGCGAAUCAUAAGUUUGCGCUGAUUACGUCCCUGCCCUUUGUACACACCGCCCGUCGCUACUACCGAUUGAAUGUUU
rnacentral:rRNA from 1 species